rnacentral:rRNA from 1 species
AUUGAACGCUGGCGGCAUGCUGUACACAUGCAAGUCGAACGGUAACAGGGUGCUUGCACCGCUGACGAGUGGCGAACGGGUGAGUAAUGCGUCGGAACGUGCCGAGUAGUGGGGGAUAACGCAGCGAAAGUUGUGCUAAUACCGCAUACGUACUGAGGUAGAAAGUGGGGGACCUUCGGGCCUCACGCUAUUCGAGCGGCCGACGUCUGAUUAGCUAGUAGGUGAGGUAAAGGCUCACCUAGGCGACGAUCAGUAGCGGGUCUGAGAGGAUGAUCCGCCCAACUGGGACUGAGAACCGGCACAGGCUCCUCCGGGAGGCAGAAGUGGGGAAUUUUGGACAAUGGGCGAAAGCCUGAUCCAGCCAUUCCGCGUGUCUGAAGAAGGCCUUCGGGUUGUAAAGGACUUUUGUCGGGGAGGAAAUCCCCAGCGUUAAUACCGCUGGGGGAUGACAGUACCUGAAGAAUAAGCACCGGCUAACUACGUGCCAGCCGCCGCCGUAA